CCCAAACAUCAUCAGGAGUGCAAAAGAAGGAAGUCAAAAAAAAAAAAACUACGUCAAUCUCAUUGGACUAGCAGAGGAAACCACAGAAGGUCUCGUUAGGAAUGCUGCAUUCAUUUUAUUGCCAGCACUAUUUAAAGAAAACGCCAGCUUCCUCUACUGUGUAGAUAGUGAACCCAAAGCUGCUACACCAACCAUAGUGUUUAACGGCUCUCCUGAUCCCCUCAAGGCUGAAAGUGUCAGCAUUAUAAUGGACAAUGUGAACAUCAUAAGAGAGGCAGACAUUGACAUGACACAGGCUGUGGAAUGCCUAUUUGCAGUCUAUUUUCUCUUCAAUGUGCAGUACCCGGUUGACAUUAAGCACACAAUGACUUUUAUUUAAAAAUAUAUGCUUAACCUUAGACAACAGCACGGCAAAAGAACACCAAUGCAUGUACUGAAAAUGUAUAGUCAACUUGUGUAAAUUGUAGAGCUAUUUAAUAGUUGUUUUAACUGUUCAUGUAUUGAUUUUUAUCUGCACUUUUAAAUAUAAAAAAUGAUUUGUUUUUCCUAAUUUCAGAGAUAUAUGUAAAAGUGAAGUACUGUAUAUGUACGUAAACAAGCUUAUGUAUGUUUAUUGCAAAGUGAAAAUGCUUAAAUGAAAUAAUUCAAACUAAAUGGUUAAAUGUAAUUAAACAUCUUAAAUAUGAAAUUUGCUGUCUAAUACAGAGUAUACAGAGGUGUAAUUUUAAAUGACACUAAAUUUUUUGUAUAAA